GGUCAGAGCAAUUUUCCCAUAAUUCUUACCUUUCCUCUGUGAUCUCGCGAUGCUUCCUGUCAUUCUAGACGAAACUGCCGAAUUGCGUUCUAACUGAAUGAGAACAGUAUGUUCGUUUGUUUUAGAACUCAAUUCGGCACUUUGUUCUUAUUGGAAUUUCACUCAAAUGAAUGAAACUCCGAUUCAAUUUGUGCCGCGGCUACAUCUUGCAGCUUCUUAGUAG